UGAUGGCUGUUCUGCUCACUGCGUGGAGCCUUAAGUAGUGAGAUUUUAGGCCAUCAUACAUCUAAACUGACUUGUUUUCAUUCAGGGCACCAUGG
rnacentral:snoRNA from 1 species